rnacentral:rRNA from 1 species
CGCAAGAUUAAAACUCAAAUGAAUUGACGGGGGCCCGCACAAGCGGUGGAGCAUGUGGUUUAAUUCGAUGCAACGCGAAGAACCUUACCUACUCUUGACAUCCAGAGAACUUUCAAGAGAUGGAUUGGUGCCUUCGGGAACUCUGAGACAGGUGCUGCAUGGCUGUCGUCAGCUCGUGUUGUGAAAUGUUGGGUUAAGUCCCGCAACGAGCGCAACCCUUAUCCUUGUUUGCCAGCGAGUAAUGUCGGGAACUCCAGGGAGACUGCCGGUGAUAAACCGGAGGAAGGUGGGGACGACGUCAAGUCAUCAUGGCCCUUACGAGUAGGGCUACACACGUGCUACAAUGGCGCAUACAGAGGGCAGCCAACUUGCGAAAGUGAGCGAAUCCCAAAAAGUGCGUCGUAGUCCGGAUUGGAGUCUGCAACUCGACUCCAUGAAGUCGGAAUCGCUAGUAAUCGUGGAUCAGAAUGCCACGGUGAAUACGUUCCCGGGCCUUGUACACACCGCCCGUCACACCAUGGGAGUGGGCUGCAAAAGAAGUAGGUAGUUUAACCUUCGGGGGGACGCUUA